rnacentral:rRNA from 1 species
AUUGAACGCUGGCGGAACGCUUUACACAUGCAAGUCGAGCGGCAGCACGGGGGCAACCCUGGUGGCGAGCGGCGAACGGGUGAGUAAUACAUCGGAACAUGCCCAGUCGUGGGGGAUAACACUUCGAAAGAAGUGCUAAUACCGCAUACGUCCUGAGGGAGAAAGCGGGGGAUCUUCGGACCUCGCGCGAUUGGAGUGGCCGAUGUCAGAUUAGCUAGUUGGUGGGGUAAAGGCCUCCCAAGGCAACGAUCUGUAGCUGGCCUGGGAGGAGGAUCAGCCACACUGGAACUGAGCCACGGCCAAGACUCCUACGGGAGGCAGCAGUGGGGAAUUUUGGACAAUGGGGGCAACCCUGAUCCAGCCAUUCCGCGUGAGUGAAGAAGGCCUUCGGGUUGUAAAGCUCUUUCGGCAGGAACGAAACGGCGAGCUCUAACAUAGCUUGCUAAUGACGGUACCUGAAGAAGAAGCACCGGCUAACUACGUGCCAGCCGCCGCAGUAACAC